GUUUGGCACCUCGAUGUCGGCUCAUCGCAUCCUGGGGCUGUAGCAGGUCCCAAGGGUUGGGCUGUUCGCCCAUUAAAGCGGUACGCGAGCUGGGUUCAGCACGUCGUGAGACAGUUCGGUCCCUAUCCGGCGCGGGCGUAGGAUAUCUGAGAGGAGCUGUCCUUAGUACGAGAGGACCGGGAUGGACGGACCGCUGGUGUAUCUGCUGCGUUGUCAAACGCAAGAGGCAGGGUAGCCAUGUCCGGCAGGGAUAAACGCUGAAGGCAUCUAAGCGUGAAGCCCCCCUCAAGAUGAGAUAUCCCGCCCUACGGGGCAUAAGAUCCCUUGAAGAGUACAAGGUAGAUAGGCGGAAGGUGUAAGUGUGGUAACACACUCAGCUGAUCCGUACUAAUAGAUCGAAGGCUUGUCCUUAU
rnacentral:rRNA from 1 species